GCUAGGUUUAGAAUACAGAAAUACGUUACCAUGAGAUCUUCACUUUGAAAGGAAUUGUCUGGUGGUCGGCCUUGAUUUGCACUCAGCUGGUCAUACUCACCUGGUUUCCCUUGUGGAAAAAUUAGUGAGAAAACAGAAGCAUGGAGAGGAAAACUAACCCACCCAAGGCCACAAACUGCCACAGCUGAAUUUUCAACUCAGAUAGUUUCAUACACUUCACCACAUGGAAUAGUUCCUUCUACAUUUAUGACUCCAGCAGUUCCAAGUUAAACUACAGAUCAAACAUGGUUUUUAUGCUAUCCUGCUCUGAGGAUCAUAUGCCAAAUUUUUGCCUCUAGACAAUACCGUAAGAUAUUUUUUCACCUCCAAGGAUAAGUAGAAGCAAUGUACAUAUGUUAGCAAGAAACAGUUACAAGUUUGAAAUAUUUGUCCUCUUCUGUUUAAGAAUAAAGAGUAAAAUUCUCUGAGAAAGUAAUGAGACAGGUAUAGGUCAAUGCUGGGACAAAGAAAAGUAAGCUUCCUAGCCUUAUCCCAUAUCCAGUUACCAAUUAAAAGUGAAGAACUCAGGAUAUGUGUCUUCUGCUGCUCUUCCCUGCUUAUCCAAUAGAAGAUACACCUUAAAAACAUGAAUCAUACAAAACAAGUCCAUGGACAAUGGACUGAGCUAUAUCUUAUGUAAGGAAGAAGAUUCUUAAGACAUACCAGAAUCAUUAUCAGUACAAAUUCACCUGACCAAAGGCAAUCCAAGAAAUAAAAAUAAAAGCUUGCACUUUUCUUUGUUCAAGAAGAAGCCUGUGUUCUCCCUCAGUCAAUACUGUCUCUUUUCUUAUUGAACUGAAGUUGGCUAAAGUUCAAGGUUUCUUUCAAAGUUUUGGUUAUAUAUUCAGAAUAUUUUCCUCAGUAAUACUAUAAUAGGAGAUAGGGAAUGGGGCAAAAAAGUCCUGUCUCCAGUAUCACCUUUGUCUCAGAGGACAACUAUGUAAACAUUUGUUUCAUUGAGGGUGGCA